GUGCAACCUUUACAGUGCCCGCUCCAGGCUCUGCCGAGCCCGGCCCGUUGAGGACGAAUGUCUGUCCCCUGCUCCCACAGCCGAAGAGCCAAGACAGAAAGCAGGUGCUGGGCCUCUUCUGCACACGCACUUCCAAGAGCUGGAAGAAGGUGGAAGAGCUGCUGGCUUCCCGGCAGCACAGACGAGCAGUGGCCCUGGGAAGACCCACCGGUCGCAGCGCCCCCCGGUGCUCUCUUCGGCCUCCCGGUGGAGUCGGCUUUUGAAGCGGAGGAAUUACCGGGUGAGUACUGGGGGGGGGGGGCGAUGGGGCAGACUCCGGCGUUCGGGUGCUCUGACUGCUCCCCGCAGACUCCUGCACCAAUGUCCUCACCUCCUCAUCCUCGCCCCUCUCCUCCUCGUCCCCGGAGAACGUGGAGUACUCGGGGCUGGACUUUCCAUCGCACCCCGCGCCCGGAUCCUCCCCGGACUUCAGGCCCUGGACGCUGCAGCCGGGGACGCUGCAGAGCCCCCUCCCCAAACAGCGCAGCCCCCCGAAACUCCCCCU
rnacentral:lncRNA from 1 species